rnacentral:rRNA from 1 species
AGGGGGCUAGCGUUAUCCGGAUUUACUGGGCGUAAAGGGUGCGUAGGCGGUCUUUCAAGUCAGGAGUGAAAGGCUACGGCUCAACCGUAGUAAGCUCUUGAAACUGGGAGACUUGAGUGCAGGAGAGGAGAGGGGAAUUCCUAGUGUAGCGGUGAAAUGCGUAGAUAUUAGGAGGAACACCAGUUGCGAAGGCGGCUCUCUGGACUGUAACUGACGCUGAGGCACGAAAGCGUGGGGAGCAAACAGGAUUAGAUACCCUGGUAGUCCACGCUGUAAACGAUGAGU